rnacentral:lncRNA from 1 species
GGCAACAUAAUGUAGACUCAACUCACAACAGUAGAAAUAACUUAUUCGUUUUCUAUAAAGAUGGCAAGAAGAUUACUACAGCCCUAAUAAAGGAGGAUCAAUUCAAACACUACUACAAAAUGGAGCUAUGGCAGCAGUUUCAAACUACUGUCGUAUCUUAAAAAAUUACUGCCAUAGCCUAUGGUAGCGGUUCCACAACGCCUACCACUGUGGCCAUCGCUGUAGGUAUAUG